UUUUUCUUCCUUGUGAUAUAGGGACAUGCUCACACAUGUGCACAUACACGCUCACAUACCAUGUUAGAAACUAAUAAAGAUGUCAGCCGCUGUGCUCUGUUAUGAGCUGUGACACGUAACAUAAAGCACCCUGCCUUUUCCUGAUACUGUCAUUUUCUGUAAGUGCAAGCUUCACUUUGGGUUUUAUUAGCCAAUGCAUCAGAACUCUGCACAUAGAAAGAGAUUUAAUAAAGUCAAUUAAUUAGGCUGCCCUUUUAGGCAGUGAAGGAGCAGGAGUACAGGAGCUAUCUAGAACCACAGUACUGCACAACAUUCAGUACUCUUCUUCAGAUAAUGCUUUUGUAAUAACAGAGAUUCUCAGCUCCCAUAUAACAGAUUCUCAGCUACUUGCUGGGCUCUGGCAGCAGGGAUUAGUUUAGGUAGUACACUGAACAGCUGGACUUGUUGUUGUGGGCAUGCUGCCGGAUCUGUGUGCCUCCCGAGCCUGCUGCCAGCCCCGUGGUGUGCAGAAGGAGAUGGACGAGGGCUCCCCGCCAGCAAACUCAACACAGGGAAAGCCAUGGCCCAUUUUCCAGAGAAGUGGUGAAAACCACCAAAGAGACUGCUCCAUCUGCACAGCUAUUACAUAUCAAAGCCAGUGUCUGCAUUUUCAAUAAUCAAGCAAGUUUACAGGCCAAAUGGCUCUCUGAACGUGAGCCCACAGAGCGCUGAAUGAAGCACUGUGCUGCUCCAGGAGGUUCCAGUGCAGCCAGCCAGAAGGUGGCUUUAACAGUGAUGUUAGAAACAAAAGAUGGCUUGAAACGGUCAUGUGCUGGCUGGCUUGCAGAUUGAAGGUAAAAGAUACAGAGGUGGAAAUGGAACACAAGGUCAGUUAAUUUACUAUCCUUCAUUUGCUCAACAGCUUUUUUGAUUAGUGUCAUUUUAACACUGUUGAUGAUCUCAACUGAUUAUUUCCUCUGGAGAGUGUUCACAGCUUAAUAUUAAUUACACGGCAUUGUAAAAUUUCCUAAAGAAUUGAAGGGGUUAAAACAAAAUGGUACUGCAGCUUUUUGCUGUUAGGUAUCUGCUAACAGGAGCAUGUGAUGAAGGUUAGGGCAAAUUAAUUGCUUGAUUACGCAACACUUGGUUCUUGUGUUCAUAGCCUAAGUAACAAAUCAGUGUUUCUGUAUAUUCUUAUUCUAAUUACAUAAUAAUAUAGUAGAGUGUAAGGACAGUCAUCACAAUGGUAAUUUUUACUUGUGGAGGUUCAGAGACUUCCGGUUAGGUUGAAACAGUAGCUGAACAUGCUAUUCUCUGUUUUGGGGGCUCAUGCUGAAAUGUGGGAAAGCCUCUUAAAAGCAUGCGUGCAUGUCUAGGAAUAUGGGCACUUGGUUUUACUAAUUUUUGUUUAAAAGACUGACAAAGUGGAUUUUCUGCCUAACUUAGAAACAUAAAUCUGCCAAGAUGUAUAACAAAGGCUAAGUCAUGGACAAAGCAGCCAGAGGAAACCCUGAAACUGUCUGAUAGCACUGGUGUAGCAGAACAUCACACAAAGCUGCAACUCCUCAUCCACCAGCAAGCUCCUUUGGACUGCAGCUGCCCUAUAGUGAUUCUCACAUAUGCAUGGAACUAUGAAAUUUAGCACAAUAUUAUUCAGGUUUAGCUUUGGGGCUUGGCCACUGGUUACUGCUGAAAAAACAGAGGUUUGCUUUGCUAAAGUGUCCAAAAUUAAAGUUGCUUGCUGAUGCUGCACUAAGUUGCCAUCCAGCAUGCACUAAAGAAAUCCUGGUUAUUUUCCCAUGGCUCCCUUAGCUAUACAAAUGCUAGGUGGGAAUGCAAUCUCCUUGUGAAAAUGGACUUUGGAGAACGGACCAGCUGGAUUCCCAGGUUGUUCUCCUGGGGCCUUGGCAGGCUGGGAUUCAGGGUUGCAGGCAUCCUCCCUUCCUCUUAGCCUCUGCAGGGUGAGCAAAACAGCAUUUCUGCCGUCACGUAUCUCUGUUUUGUACGAGUCCUCUGUUCAUUGCAAACAUAUGAAAGACACAUGUUUUACAGCAGAUUUUUUUGGCGUGCAGGCAAAGUGCAAGGAGGGGGGCUAAUUAGACUUCAGGGUGGUACUUCCCUCUAGCAUCAGGAAUAAAAGCUAUUUAACAAAAAAUACAAUAUGGUGCCAGUAAAAAUGCUUGGAAAUAGAAUUACAAUAGCCAAACUUGUUUUUUGUAAGUUGUUUACCAUGAAUGAAAUAAAGUGCAGAGGAAAUGGAAAAUGUGGUAACUGUAUUGAAUGCAUUUAUAUAGUUUUCAGAUGUCUCUCAGAGUUAUCCUUAUACUAUAUCUCCUCUCAAUAUGUUUAUGGACCCUCUGUGUAAAAAGGUCAUGCCAUUUUUUCCCUGGAGUUUUUCCUUCUGUCUUGGCUAAACCUUCCUGCAAGAGUUUUGGAACUUGGCAGUGUUAAAGAGUUCAGACAGAGAAACAGACCUAGACCAAUGUCAAAUUGAAAAUAUGGAAAAAAAAAUGUUGUUGCAAAUAUAAAUCAAACUCCAUGAGAUCUGCAGCAAAGUAGAGAGUUUUGCCUAUCAAUCAGACCCAAAGAUCCCAAAUCUAGUGCAUAUAUGUUGAAGAUCACCAUCCUAUCUGCAGUCUCUACAUAACUCUUAUGAUGACUAAUUGUGAAAGACAGAACUGUUUUUCUUUUAUUGUCUCAAAGUUUGCUUUCGUGAGGCCUUUCUGAUGAUAAGACUCUGACAGGCAACUGCUAACUAUCCAGGAGGGUGAAUGGUGGGUGUUAUCGUGCCAUCCCUGCUUAGGACUGCAAAGAUAAGCAGGAACAAGACAAGCAGUUUUUUCCAGGGGUGCUGCUGGGAGGAGCAGACCCCUGCAGAAGGUGGUAAAUCUUGUGUCUGGCAACAGAGACCUCCAACCCUUGCUGGCUUAUCUGUGGGACAGGAAUGUCAGAAAAGUUAGUUUUAAAUCAUUUUACAAAGAAGUGUUUG